rnacentral:misc_RNA from 1 species
AAAAUCUGCUCAUGUGAUACUUUCCGAAGACACAAGGCAUUCGGGGAAAUUACUUCAGUAUUACAAUAUUAGAACUCCCCUUCUGAGUUAUCACAAAUUCAAUGAGUCUCAAAGAGAAUUGACGGUGUUAAAGAGAUUGAAACAGGGCGAGAUUGUGGCCCUGAUCAGUGAUGCAGGGAUGCCAGGCAUUAGUGAUCCUGGUGCAGAAUUGGCAAAGUUAUGUGUGGAUGAAAAUAUUCCUGUUAUUCCUAUUCCUGGACCUUCAGCUUUGGUAGCUGCUCUUUCUGCCUCAGGCUUGGCCACAGAUGAGUUUACUUUUGGUAAUCUUUUUCUUUUUUAUAUAUAGAGUUGACACCUGAUAUGCUUAUAGUCGUGCAUGGACGUGCGCCUUUGAAUAGAUACUGUUAACGGCAUUAAGAUUACCAGGACUUAAUUUUUAAAUACUGCUGCAGUUGGAUUUCUUUCUAAGCAUGCCAGAUCUAGGAGAGAGAGGCUGAUAGCCUCUGCAGAUGAAGCAAGAACCCAAAUAUUCUAUGUUCCUCCUCAU